rnacentral:rRNA from 1 species
AGCAGCCGCGGUAAUUCCAGCUCCAAUAGCGUAUAUUAAAGUUGUUGCAGUUAAAAAGCUCGUAGUUGAAUUUCGGGAUUCUACCGUUGGUCGGGCUAACAAGUCUGUACUGGUGUGUAGAAUUUCUACCUUCUGGGGAACUAUCAUGUUAUUAAUUUAGCGUGGUGGGAAACCAGGACCUUUACCUUGAAAAAAUUAGAGUGUUCAAAGCAGGCUUAUGUCUGAAUACAUUAGCAUGGAAUAAUAGAAUAGGACGUUGGUCCUGUUUUGUUGGUUUCUGAAUCACCGUAAUGAUUAAUAGGGAUAGUUGGGGGCAUUAGUAUUCAAUUGUCAGAGGUGAAAUUCUUGGAUUUAUUGAAGACUAACUUCUGCGAAAGCAUUUGCCAAGGAUGUUCUCAUUAAUCAAGAACGAAAGUUGGGGGAUCGAAGACGAAUCAGAUACCGUCGUAGUCUUAACCAUAAACUAUGCCGACUAGGGAUCGGACGAUGUUAAAUUUAUUGACUCGUUCGGCGCCUUACG